rnacentral:rRNA from 1 species
UGGGGAAUAUUGCACAAUGGGCGCAAGCCUGAUGCAGCCAUGCCGCGUGUAUGAAGAAGGCCUUCGGGUUGUAAAGUACUUUCAGCGGGGAGGAAGGUGUUGAGGCUAAUAACCUCAGCAAUUGACGUUACCCGCAGAAGAAGAACCGGCUAACUCCGUGCCAGCAGCCGCGGUAAUACGGAGGGUGCAAGCGUUAAUCGGAAUUACUGGGCGUAAAGCGCACGCAGGCGGUCUGUCAAGUCGGAUGUGAAAUCCCCGGGCUCAACCUGGGAACUGCAUUCGAAACUGGCAGGCUAGAGUCUUGUAGAGGGGGGUAGAAUUCCAGGUGUAGCGGUGAAAUGCGUAGAGAUCUGGAGGAAUACCGGUGGCGAAGGCGGCCCCCUGGACAAAGACUGACGCUCAGGUGCGAAAGCGUGGGGAGCAAACA